AGCCAUGCCAGGCCCUCAGCUAAGUCGCAACAAACACAAUUCCAAUCCUUUUACAGGUGGACGGACGGCGUUAGUUCCUCUGCUUUUCCCUUUUUCUGUUGAUAGCGGAGAGCUAAUGAUUCACAUGAGCUUUGAAAGGAGUUUCAUAAGUGCUCAAUUCAACUCAUCUAGACCAAGACUCAAUUCCAAACUAGCUGGGGCUGACUUCAAGGAUCCACUCCCCCCUUUCCUCCAUUUUGUUCUGUUAUGAGCUAAACACUUGAUAAAAUGAAUUGGACUCUCCCCGUGAAUUAAAUGUGGACAGUGCAUUUUUCUUCGUCUGUAAAAGUGAAAAAUAUGUAGAUUUCUUUCUCUUUUGCAAAGAGGAAGAGAAAAGGAAAUAAAUAGUAAAACACAACUUAUUUUUUCACUUGCCAAACUAAAAUUUCUCGCAUUAAUAUCUACCUCAACCUCCAGUUUUUAUCAUUUCAAUAAAUGUACCCAAGAAAAAAGACAUCCAAAAAAUGAUAUUGAAGAUGAAAAAAGAAUAAAUUAAAGGCAAAUUCACACAGUUCUCUGCAUAAUAGCUGCUUGUGUUGGUGGGAAAAGGAAGCAGAAA